rnacentral:rRNA from 1 species
GAUGAACGCUGGCGGCGUGCCUAAUACAUGCAAGUCGAGCGAACGGACUAGAAGCUUGCUUCUCUGAUGUUAGCGGCGGACGGGUGAGUAACACGUGGAUAACCUACCUAUAAGACUGGGAUAACUUCGGGAAACCGGAGCUAAUACCGGAUGAUAUUUUGAACCGCAUGGUUCAAAAGUGAAAGACGGUCUUGCUGUCACUUAUAGAUGGAUCCGCGCUGCAUUAGCUAGUUGGUAAGGUAACGGCUUACCAAGGCAACGAUGCAUAGCCGACCUGAGAGGGUGAUCGGCCACACUGGAACUGAGACACGGUCCAGACUCCUACGGGAGGCAGAAGUAGGGAAUCUUCCGCAAUGGGCGAAAGCCUGACGGAGCAACGCCGCGUGAGUGAUGAAGGUCUUCGGAUCGUAAAACUCUGUUAUUAGGGAAGAACAUAUGUGUAAGUAACAGUGCACAUAUUGACGGUACCUAAUCAGAAAGCCACGGCUAACUACGUG